rnacentral:rRNA from 1 species
AGGAUAAACGCUGGCGGCGUGCCUAACACAUGCAAGUCGAACGCGCUUUCGGGCUUCGGUGCGAGAGCGAGUGGCGGACGGGUGAGUAACACAUGGGUACCCACCUUGGAGUGAGGGAUACCGGCGAGAAAUCGCCGACAAUACCGCAUAGGCUUCUUCACAAGGGAAGCAAAGUGACGCGAGUCACGCUGUGAGAUGGGCCUGUGGCCGAUUAGCUAGUUGGGGGGGUAACGGCUUCCCAAGGCGACGAUCGGUAGCUGGUCUGAGAGGACGAUCAGCCACACUGGGAUUGAGAACGGCCCAGACUCCUACGGGGGGCAGCAGUGAGGAAUUUUCCGCAAUGGAGGCAACUCUGACGGAGCAACGCCGCGUGCAGGAGGAAGGUUUUCGGAUCGUAAACUGCUUUUCUCGGGGACGAGCAAGGACGGUACCCGAGGAAGAAGCCCCGGCUAACUACGUGCCAGCAGCCGC